rnacentral:rRNA from 1 species
AUUGGACGCUGGCGGCAGGCUUAACACAUGCAAGUCGAGCGGGGUGAUGGUGCUUGCACUAUCACUUAGCGGCGGACGGGUGAGUAAUGCUUAGGAAUCUGCCUAUUAGUGGGGGACAACAUCUCGAAAGGGAUGCUAAUACCGCAUACGUCCUACGGGAGAAAGCAGGGGAUCACUUGUGACCUUGCGCUAAUAGAUGAGCCUAAGUCGGAUUAGCUAGUUGGUGGGGUAAAGGCCUACCAAGGCGACGAUCUGUAGCGGGUCUGAGAGGAUGAUCCGCCACACUGGGACUGAGACACGGCCCAGACUCCUACGGGAGGCAGCAGUGGGGAAUAUUGGACAAUGGGGGGAACCCUGAUCCGGCCAUGCCGCGUGUGUGAAGAAGGCCUUAUGGUUGUAAAGCACUUUAAGCGAGGAGGAGGCUCUUUUGGUUAAUACCCAAGAUGAGUGGACGUUACUCGCAGAAUAAGCACCGGCUAACUCUGUGCCAGCCGCCGCCGUAA